rnacentral:lncRNA from 1 species
UUUGGUUUCAUUUCUUGGUCAUUCUCAACCAGCUCUUUUUCUUCGGAUCUUUUUGAAUCCACAAACGGUACAUCUUCUCGAGCUCUUUUCAUGAUCACCACUUGAGCUUCAGUGAAAACUUGAAGCAGUUCUGAAGGAGUAGCCGCUGGAUCAAGUUUCAAACAGCCCUUACAAGACUUUAGACCUUCUUGACCUGUUACCAAAUAAGACGGAACCUGGUGAGAGAAAUGAAAAAACUCUUCCCUCGGAAUCGCCCAGGUUUUACUUCGUUCCGAAUGCCUGCGGAACACUGUCUUUAAACCUGGAAGAUUCAAGUUGAUACAAAGUCUGGAGUACUUGAACUGCAUCUUACAGGAACUGCAGGUUGUCCAAAAUGUAUCAGUUCUUGUUGAGCAAGGAGGAGCAGAAUUGGAAUAAGUAGCACCGUGCUGAUCACCGAUGUUUGAGUUUUUAACACUGUAGGAAUUAUGGAAACCAUUAGAGCUUGUUGUUGCCAUUGAUGAUUUCCCAUGUAGAACAUUCGUAAAGCUACCCCUUAAGUUCAGCUUCUGGUCAUAAGAAAAUCUUCUUGCUUUAUCAGACAACAAACUCCAAGCUUCUAAUAGAAGUUUGAAAGCUCCUGCACCUGCGA